GAUGAACGCUGGCGGCGUGCCUAAUACACGCGAGUCGAGCGAACAGAUGAGGAGCUUGCUCCUCUGACGUUAGCGGCGGACGGGUGAGUAACACGUGGAUAACCUACCUAUAAGACUGGGAUAACUUCGGGAAACCGGAGCUAAUACCGGAUAAUAUAUUGAACCGCAUGGUUCAAUAGUGAAAGACGGUUUUGCUGUCACUUAUAGAUGGAUCCGCGCCGCAUUAGCUAGUUGGUAAGGUAACGGCUUACCAAGGCAACGAUGCGUAGCCGACCUGAGAGGGUGAUCGGCCACACUGGAACUGAGACACGGUCCAGACUCCUACGGGAGGCAGCAGUAGGGAAUCUUCCGCAAUGGGCGAAAGCGUGACGGAGCAACGCCGCGUGAGUGAUGAAGGUCUUCGGAUCGUAAAACUCUGUUAUUAGGGAAGAACAAAUGUGUAAGUAACUAUGCACGUCUUGACGGUACCUAAUCAGAAAGCCACGGCUAACUACGUG
rnacentral:rRNA from 1 species